rnacentral:rRNA from 1 species
GGGGAGCGGCAGACGGGUGAGUAACGCGUGGGAAUCUACCCAUCUCUACGGAAUAACUCAGGGAAACUUGUGCUAAUACCGUAUACGCCCUUCGGGGGAAAGAUUUAUCGGAGAUGGAUGAGCCCGCGUUGGAUUAGCUAGUUGGUGGGGUAAAGGCCUACCAAGGCGACGAUCCAUAGCUGGUCUGAGAGGAUGAUCAGCCACAUUGGGACUGAGACACGGCCCAAACUCCUACGGGAGGCAGCAGUGGGGAAUAUUGGACAAUGGGCGCAAGCCUGAUCCAGCCAUGCCGCGUGAGUGAUGAAGGCCUUAGGGUUGUAAAGCUCUUUCACCGGAGAAGAUAAUGACGGUAUCCGGAGAAGAAGCCCCGGCUAACUUCGU